GAUUUCUGGCUUGAUACAUUUUGCCGGCCACGGUUUCGUGUGUUAGUGCUUGAUGUUCUGGCCAUCCUUCCAAUUGCCACGUACUCUUCUUCAUUGAUUGGUGCGUGGUGUUGGAUCUUUUACUUUGAAAAAAUUAGAGUGUUUCAAGCAGGCUUUAUGCUAUGAAUACAUUAGCAUGGAAUAAUAAUUUAGGACUUCGGUUCUAUUUUGUUGGUUUCUAGGACUGAAGUAAUGAUUGAUAGGGAUAGUUGGGGGUGCUAGUAUUCAGCGGCCAGAGGUGAAAUUCUCGGAUUCGCUGAAGACUAACUUAUGCGAAAGCAUU
rnacentral:rRNA from 1 species